AUUGAACGCUGGCGGCAGGCCUAACACAUGCAAGUCGAGCGGCAGCGGGAAAGUAGCUUGCUACUUUUGCCGGCGAGUGGCGGACGGGUGAGUAAUGCCUGGGGAUCUGCCCAGUCGAGGGGGAUAACUACUGGAAACGGUAGCUAAUACCGCAUACGCCCUACGGGGGAAAGCAGGGGACCUUCGGGCCGUGCGCGAUUGGAUGAACCCAGGUGGGAUUAGCUAGUUGGUGAGGUAACGGCUCACCAAGGCGACGAUCCCUAGCUGGUCUGAGAGGAUGAUCAGCCACACUGGAACUGAGACACGGUCCAGACUCCUACGGGAGGCAGCAGUGGGGAAUAUUGCACAAUGGGGGAAACCCUGAUGCAGCCAUGCCGCGUGUGUGAAGAAGGCCUUCGGGUUGUAAAGCACAUUCAGCGAGGAGGAAAGGUCAGUAGCUAAUAUCUGCUGGCUGUGACGUUACUCGCAGAAGAAGCACCGGCUAACUCCGUGCCAGCCGCCGCCGUAA
rnacentral:rRNA from 1 species